UACGUAGGGGGCGAGCGUUGUCCGGAAUCAUUGGGCGUAAAGCGCGUGUAGGCGGUCCGGUAAGUCCGCUGUGAAAGUCCAGGGCUCAACCCUGGAAGGCCGGUGGAAACUGUCGGGCUAGAGUCCGGAAGAGGCGAGUGGAAUUCCCGGUGUAGCGGUGAAAUGCGCAGAUAUCGGGAGGAACACCAAUGGCGAAGGCAGCUCGCUGGGACGGUACUGACGCUGAGACGCGAAAGCGUGGGGAGCAAACAGG
rnacentral:rRNA from 1 species